rnacentral:rRNA from 1 species
GAUGAACGCCGGCGGUGUGCCUAAUACGUGCAAGUCGUACGCACUGGCCCAACUGAUUAAUGGUGCUUGCACCUGAUUGACGAUGGAUCACCAGUGAGUGGCGGACGGGUGAGUAACACGUAGGUAACCUGCCCCGGAGCGGGGGAUAACAUUUGGAAACAGAUGCUAAUACCGCAUAACAACAAAAACCACAUGGCUUUUGUUUGAAAGAUGGCUUUGGCUAUCACUCUGGGAUGGACCUGCGGUGCAUUAGCUAGUUGGUAAGGUAACGGCUUACCAAGGCGAUGAUGCAUAGCCGAGUUGAGAGACUGAUCGGCCACAAUGGAACUGAGACACGGUCCAUACUCCUACGGGAGGCAGCAGUAGGGAAUCUUGCGCAAUGGAGGAAACUCUGAUGCAGCGACGCCGCGUGAGUGAAGAAGUAAUUCGUAUGUAAAGCUCUAUCAGCAGGGAAGAUAGUGACGGUACCUGACUAA